GACGAACGCUGGCGGCGCGCCUAACACAUGCAAGUCGAACGAGAGAUGAGGAGCUUGCUCUCCAAAUCGAGCGGCGAACGGGUGAGUAACGCGUGAGGAACCUGCCUCAAAGGGGGGGACAACAGUUUGGAAACGACUGCUAAUACCGCAUAAGCCCACGGCUCGGCAUCGAGCAGAGGGAAAAGGAGCAAUCCGCUUUGAGAUGGCCUCGCGUCCGAUUAGCUAGUUGGUGAGGUAACGGCCCACCAAGGCGACGAUCGGUAGCCGGACUGAGAGGUUGAACGGCCACAUUGGGACUGAGACACGGCCCAGACUCCUACGGGAGGCAGCAGUGGGGAAUAUUGCACAAUGGGGGAAACCCUGAUGCAGCGACGCCGCGUGGAGGAAGAAGGUCUUCGGAUUGUAAACUCCUGUUGUUGAGGAAGAUAAUGACGGUACUCAACAAGGAAGUGACGGCUAACUACGUGCCAGCAGCCGCGGUAAAACGUAGGUCACAAGCGUUGUCCGGAAUUACUGGGUGUAAAGGGAGCGCAGGCGGGAGAACAAGUUGGAAGUGAAAUCCAUGGGCUCAACCCAUGAACUGCUUUCAAAACUGUUUUUCUUGAGUAGUGCAGAGGUAGGCGGAAUUCCCGGUGUAGCGGUGGAAUGCGUAGAUAUCGGGAGGAACACCAGUGGCGAAGGCGGCCUACUGGGCACCAACUGACGCUGAGGCUCGAAAGUGUGGGUAGCAAACAGGAUUAGAUACCCUGGUAGUCCACACCGUAAACGAUGAUUACUAGGUGUUGGAGGAUUGACCCCUUCAGUGCCGCAGUUAACACAAUAAGUAAUCCACCUGGGGAGUACGACCGCAAGGUUGAAACUCAAAGGAAUUGACGGGGGCCCGCACAAGCAGUGGAGUAUGUGGUUUAAUUCGACGCAACGCGAAGAACCUUACCAAGUCUUGACAUCCCUUGACGAUGCUGGAAACAGUAUUUCUCUUCGGAGCAAGGAGACAGGUGGUGCAUGGUUGUCGUCAGCUCGUGUCGUGAGAUGUUGGGUUAAGUCCCGCAACGAGCGCAACCCUUAUGGUCAGUUACUACGCAAGAGGACUCUGGCCAGACUGCCGUUGACAAAACGGAGGAAGGUGGGGAUGACGUCAAAUCAUCAUGCCCUUUAUGACUUGGGCUACACACGUACUACAAUGGCGUUAAACAAAGAGAAGCAAGACCGCGAGGUGGAGCAAAACUCAGAAACAACGUCCCAGUUCGGACUGCAGGCUGCAACUCGCCUGCACGAAGUCGGAAUUGCUAGUAAUCGUGGAUCAGCAUGCCACGGUGAAUACGUUCCCGGGUCU
rnacentral:rRNA from 1 species